GACGAACGCUGGCGGCGUGCUUAACACAUGCAAGUCGAACGGAAAGGCCUUUUCGGAGGUACUCGAGUGGCGAACGGGUGAGUAACACGUGGGCGAUCUGCCCUGCACUCUGGGAUAAGCCUGGGAAACUGGGUCUAAUACCGGAUAGGACCGCACUUUAGUGUGUGUGGUGGAAAGUUUUUUCGGUGUAGGAUGAGCCCGCGGCCUAUCAGCUUGUUGGUGGGGUAAUGGCCUACCAAGGCGGCGACGGGUAGCCGGACUGAGAGGUUGGUCGGCCACAUUGGGACUGAGAUACGGCCCAGACUCCUACGGGAGGCAGCAGUGGGGAAUAUUGCACAAUGGGCGCAAGCCUGAUGCAGCGACGCCGCGUGGGGGAUGACGGCCUUCGGGUUGUAAACUCCUUUCGCCAGGGACGAAGCGUUUUGUGACGGUACCUGGAGAAGAAGCACCGGCUAACUACGUG
rnacentral:rRNA from 1 species